rnacentral:rRNA from 1 species
GACGCAGCAACGCCGCGUGCGGGAGGACGGCCUUCGGGUUGUAAACCGCUUUGGCGGGGGAAGAAACUGACGGUACCCCGCAAAAAAGCCCCGGCUAACUACGUGCCAGCAGCCGCGGUAAUACGUAGGGGGCGAGCGUUGUCCGGAAUUACUGGGCGUAAAGGGCGCGCAGGCGGCCGAUCAAGUACCUGGUGAAAACG